rnacentral:lncRNA from 1 species
UUUUUUUUUUGUGUGUGUGUGUGGUACUGGGGAUUGAACCCAGGGUCUUGGCAAGCACUCUACCAGCUGAGCUAUAUAUCCUCAGCCCCAAAAGUUCUUCUCUUAGUCCAUUUUUUUUUUGUGUGUGUGUAUGUGUUUUCCUUUGUCCAUGGCAUAAAAUAACCACUUUAUUAAUUACUAUUUAGACAAAUAUUCCUCCACAUAAUAACUUACUACGCCAUUUAAAAUAAGAUGUGUAGCUGGGUGUGGUAGACAUGACUUUAAUUCCAGCAACUCAGAAGGCUGAGGCAGGAGGAUUGCAAGUUCAGAUCAGCCUCAUCAACUUAGUGAGACCCUGUCUCAUAAUAAAAAAUUAAAAGGGCUGGGGAUGUAGUUCAGUGGUAAAAGUGCCCUUCGGUCCCUCCAAAAUUGUGUAUACCUUAGGGGGUUCCUGAAAUGGGAGAACACUUGCAAACGUAAAGAAAGUGUUAGAAUCUUUAUUUCUAUCUUUUUUUUAAGCUAAAAAAGGGAGGAGAAAAGCUUUACAAUGAAAUCUUGUGUUACAAGGAACUAUUUUAAAGUUAAAUAUUAUUUGGUUAUAAAAUGGAGCAAAGUACUAAUAUAUGAGUGAACCUUGAAAAUUUAUGUCAGGUGAAGAAAACCCGUCCCAAAAGACGACACAUAGAUUUCAUUUAUAUUAAAUGUUUAGAAUAGAAAAUUCUUGGGAGACAGAAAGUAGAUUAGUUUUUGCCUCAGGCAGGGGGAAGAAGAAUGGGGGGGGGAUAGCUAAAAGAUAUAGGGUCUAUUUUUGUGCUGCUAAAUAUUCCCUAAAAUUUGAUUACAAUAAAAUCUUCAUAAAAUACAGAUUCCUAUUUGGCAUAACUGAACAUAUUAAAACUCAUGAAACUGUACACUUUAAAUGGACCAACUAUACAGCAUAUUCAUUAUAUCCCCAAAAUACAGUUAUGAAAAUAAUUUAAUACACAAUCAAUAUUCUAAUAUUUAAUAUAAAGAUAAUAAUAGGAACGUAUCCUUAACCAAAAACACUUAUUAUAUGUAUGUUAACGUUGAUAGAGAUCAUGACUGAACAAGUUUGGAAACCACUUAUCUAUUAAUAUAUAAAAACCUAGAAUAUUAAAGUUACCUAUUAGCCAGGUGCCGUGGCGCAUGCCUGUAAUCUCAACAGCUUGGGAGGCUGAGGCAGGAGGAUUGUGAGUUCAGCACCAGCCUCAGCAACGGCAAGGUGCUAAGCAACUCAGUGAGAUCCUGUCUCUAAAUAAAAUACAAAACAGGGCUGGGGAUGUGGCUCAGUGGUUGAAUGUCCUUGAGUUCAGUCCCCAGUACCAAAAAAAAAAAAAAAAAAGUUACCCAUUGCUACCAACAAUGGAACACAAACUCUGUGACCUAAAAGAAGAUGCAUUUAUUAUCUCACAUUUUCCCUGAGUCAGGAGUCCUGCUCAAGGUCUCUGACAAGGCCACAGUGUUGGCUAGGCCUAGGUCACUUUCCAAUUCAUGUAGUCCUUGUCAGAAUUCAGUUCCUUGAAAGCCAUUGAAUCAAGGACAUCAGUUCCUGAGUUGCUAAGUGUCCCCUGAAGACUACCUUCAGUUCCUUGGGUCCUGUGUCCCUCCAGUAUGGCUGCCUGAUUCAUCAAAGUGUGCAAAGAGAAAAGGCAGUAGAGAAAUAUCAGUGAUCAUUUUUUAGUUGUUGUUGAACUUUAUUCUGUAUUAAAAACAAAAAUCCUGGAAAGCUUCAUAAAAUACAGAUUCCUAUUUGGCAUAUUAGAUUACAAUGUUAAUGUGUGAUUAUAGUUUAAAAUAUGUAAGUAAAGAAUUGACACAGGCCAGUGCACCACUCCUGUAAUACUGGCAGCUCUGGAGGCUCAUGCAGGAGCAUUGCGAGUUCAAAGUGAGCCUCAGCAACUUAGUAAGGCCCUAAGCAACUCAGGGAGACCCUGACUCAAAAGGACUGGGGAUGUGGCUCAGUGGUUAAGUGCCCCUGGGUUCAAUCCCUGGUGCCGAAAAGAUUUGAUACAAAUGUUUUAAAUUGAAACUGUUAUCACCCUUAAACAGUUUGGAGAUUUUUAACUCAUCAUGUAUAGAAAUUUAAUUUGAGUAUUGAAAUUUAUUUUAUUGAUUAGGAAGAUAGUUUAUUAAUCCAACAUUUAUUGUAAUCAAAUGUAGUUAUUCACUUUAUAAAAUUCUUUUUAAUAUGCUAAUUAACAUUUGCUAGAAACAAAAUAAAAUUCACAUGUUGAUCUUAAAAGAAGAAAAUAAAUAUACCAAUUCCUGGGCUUCCCUGUUUAGAAACAAAAUAAAUUUUACAUGUUGAUAUUAAAAGAUGAAAAAAAAAACACCCCAAUUCCUGGGCUUCCCUUUCAGAAAUUCUGAUUCAGUAGAUUUAGGCAAGAACAGUGUCCUACCAAGAUUUAAUGGUACCUGAGGCAAAAGGAGAAAAAUCAACAAUAUCAAUUCUAUCUUAACAUUUUGGUAUUUCAUUAAUAAUGGGUUGUCUAACAUUGAUUUUUUUAAAAACAUUGCAUUAAAAUAUCACUUAUCUUGAUUGUGGAGUUUUUUUUUUUUGGUCAUUCCUUAAAUUUUGAACCCAAAGUGAUUACCUCACCCACCUAACUUUUCAUUUCUAGCUGUGACUCUAAGUGGGAAGACUGAACAGAAUUACAUCUUUUUUCUUUUAUUUAUUUAUUUGUGAUUUUAGUUGUAGUUGGACACAAUGCCUUUAUUUAUUUAUUUUUUUGUUUUGUUUUUAUGUGGUGCCAAGGAUUGAACCCAGCCCCCUGCACAUGCUAGGCAAGCGCUCUACUGCUGAGCCACAAUCCCAGCUCUUUCUUUUUUCUUUUGAUAUGGAAUGAUCCAACUUUCUCUGGUUUUUCUCUACCAGGGAAUGCGGACUGGGUAAGGUGAGGCCAGCUUUGGCUGAUGGUACUGAAAGAAACCAAGAAGGAGAUGGAGAACAGGGAUGGAUAGCGUUCUGUAUUUCUGAAAUUAUCAGAUAGGAUAUGUAAGGCCCUUAUGUUUUGCUAUAGUCCACCUUGCAUGUCAUUCUAGAAUAUUCUAUUACCUAAACAUCCAGGCUGUUUAGUGUAGCCUUACAAAAUAAAUUGGUCACAACAAAUAGAUAUUUUCAUCAAAAUCAGAAAUUUAAAAAUGCCUAGAAUUAGCUCCAUGCUGACUCUGGCAUGGGGUUACCUGAUUAUGGGGUACCAAUCCAUUAUCAGAGUUUUUGAAAAUGGACCUGGAAGCUAAUUCAUUUUAUGGCAUCACUUAUGUGUCUUUCUUUGGGUUAAUUCAGAAGUUACUCAACAGAAAACUUUUUCUUUCUUCUCUGGUCUCUGCCCACCUCUUGUUUUGGUGUAUCUUGUAUUAGAGAGAUUCCAUAAUUUCUUGGAGUGAAAAAUGCCCAGGCAAUUCAAAACCCUUUAAAAAGUUCUCUUGAAGAAUUUCCUGAAUCAUGGGACUCACCCCACACACCCCUUUCUCCUUAUUUUUCUCUAGCUUCAGUAAAUGAGAGGAAACAUUUGACCCUUCACUUUCUGAGUCUGGCAUAUUCACUUAGUAUGAUGGUCUCCAGUUCCAUUCAUUUACCAGCAAGUGCCAUAAUUUCAUUCUUCUUUAUGACUGAGUAAAACUCCAUUGUGUAUAUGGACCACAUUUUCUUUAUCCAUUCAUCUGUUGAAGAGCAUCUAGGUUGGAUUCAUAGCUUAGCUAUUGUGAGUUUCAAUGCUAUACACAUUGAUGUGCCUAUAUCAUGAUAGUAUGCUGAUUGUAGUUCUUUAGGGUAAAUACCGAGGAGUAGGAUAGCUGGGCCAUGUGGUGGUGCCAUUCCUAGGCUUUUGAGGAAUUUCUGUACUGUUUUCCAAAGUGGUUGUAUUCAUUUGCAAUCCCACCAACAAUAUAUGAGUGCAUCUUUUCCCCCACAUCCUCACCAGCAUUUAUUAUUUGUAUUCUGGCUAAUUGCCAUUCUAACUGGAGAGAAAUGAAAUAUCAAUGUAGGUUUGAUAUACAUUUUCCUGAUUGCUAGGGAUGUUGGACAUUUUUUUUCACAUAUUUUUCUGGCCAUUAGCAUUUAUUCUUUUGAGAAAUGUCAAUUUAGUUCUUUUGCUCAUUUAUUGAGUUAUUAUUAUUAUUUUUUGGUGUUAAGUUUUUGGGGAGAGGGAAGAGGAAUAAAUAAAGGGAAGAAAUGCAGAAUGAAACUGACCAAAUUAUGCUAUGUACACACAUGGAUAUAUCACACUGAAUUUCACCUGUAUGUGUAUCUGUAAAACACUAAUUUAUUUGUUUAUUUAUGAUUAUUUUUUCUUAUCUUCAAGAGACAGUUGAGAUGGGGUGGGGGUCUUGAUGUUAAGGUGAAGCAGGUUAAUAAGGGCCAACCAUCAGCAAACUCAUUCUAUCUGAGCCUGAUGGUGCACGCUGUAAAACACUAAUUUAAAAAGCAAUAAAUAAAUAGAAGGCAGACCAGUAAAAUAGAGGAAAUAGAGGAAUAGAGGAAGUGGAACGGGAGGUGGGAGGAGGUGAGGGAAAGAGGAAGUACUGGGGACUGAUACGAAGCAAAUUAUAUUCCAUGCAUGUAUGAUUAUGUCCGAUGAACCCUGCUAUUAUGUAUAAUAAUAAUGCACUAGUAAAAACAUUGUAAAAAGAAUUUCCUGAAUUAAAUCAGGUCUGCAAAGAAGGAUUUCAUUGGCUUCUCACCACAUUUAGAAUAAAAUCCAAAUUUCCCCAUAGUCUGCAAGACCCUGCUUGAUCUGACUCCUACAUCAUUUUCAAUUUAUAUCAUAUCACUCUUGCCUUGGUCACUCUAUUCCAGCCACACUGACGUCCUUAUUCCUCAGAAGCCACAUCUGUUUCCACUUUAUGUACUUUGUAUUGACUGUGCCCUCUAUAUGGACCACUCUUCCCUUAGAUGAACCGAUUCUCUAAGGCCUUCCUAGAUCCAUCCAGCAGCUUCCCCUGCCAUCUCUAUUAUAUGAACUUGUUUUAUUUCUGGGGUAGCAUUUUCUAUCCUUGACAUUAAUCCAUAUGUUUCUUUGUUUAUUGAUUAUGUAUCUCUUCCACUAGAAUGUAAACCACAUAGAGAAAGGGCUGUUUUACUUACUGCUGUUGCCAUCACAUAGACCAGAACAUACCACAUGGUGGGGACUCAAUAAGUAUUUGUUAAUGAAUGAAUAAAUUUUCAGUUUGUGCACCCUUACUAAUCAAUUACUUAUAUAAUAUAUAUAUUAUGUAAAAUGUGUAUGUAUGGAAUAUAUAUUUACAAUAGAAAAUGCAUAUAUAAUAAUACUUUAUAUAAAAUUAUUUAUAAUAAUACUUUAUAUAAAAUGCUGUAUAUUUAUAUAUAUCCCACAUGUUUUGAGGUUUUCUUGUAAUAUCCCUAAUCUCUUUUUCUGCUUAUCAAUUACCAGAAAAAUGAUGGGCCAUCUUACCCUUGGAUGAUUUGCUUUGGUUAAAGAAUAUCAUGCCAAACUUUAUCUUUUGGUUUUGAGACUUCAAAGCUUUGUGAUUUUUCUAAGUCCUUUUUUCUGGUAAUUUGACUACUAGCCUUAGGCUCCCCUAAUAAUUCCUAUCAUUUGUUGUAUGUCCUGGGGAAAUUGGUCUGCUAAAGUGGAGACAUUUUGAGUCCCAUAUUUAAUCUGAAGAAUUCAUAGAACUUCUUCAUUGUAUGUGAUCAUAUGCCUAUGUUUAUUUUAAUAAAAAUUAUAUUUUAAGUUACUUAUGGGGUGACACAGGCCAUGAAGAUCUGAACCCCCAGCACAUGUGUGCAUGCGCGUGUGCACAUGGACACACACACACACACACUGCUGAAUGCAUGCCUCAAGAUGAUAU